rnacentral:lncRNA from 1 species
GUGUGUGGCAGACUGGAAGUGCCGCAGAACUCAUGCCCCAGCUAGCAGUCCUAAAUAACCUACCAAUGGGAGUUGGCAGAUAAAUAUGCCAGCCCUCAACCUAGGAUAAGGUAACUUUGAGGUACAUGUUCCAUCCUGUUUCUCAGAGUGCCCAGUGCCCAUGUGGAAACUUGACUAACAAUGCACCCCUCUUGGCUUCCCUUCCCUUCCGUGUCUCUUGCGGUGGCCUUGAGUAAGCCAUGGCUGACCUCCAACUACAGGAAGUGACUGUGAUGAGGCCCAGCUGUCAUGCUUUGGAAUCCAUCACGGUGUGUGCCGAGGUCGCGCCUCCCUCCUCCCGGCCAGUAAUGGAGUGUGGCAGGCUGGUAACAAAGGCCUGCUCUUAGGAGAUGUGGGAGCUCCCUGAUGGCCAACUUUCAUUCAAGGACCGCCUGCAGAAAGAGUAUUCCGUGGGCCACACAGUGACUCACAGAUCCAGCCAGUCUUCACUUGGCAGCUCUGUCAUCUCAACGUGUGGCUUCCAUCACCACAGCUGGAAAACCAAAAGCCAGAGGUCUGCACAGGGCUUUUCCUUCCUUGUAGAGGAGAGUUUUCAUCUCUGCUCAGAUGAGAGAAGGCUUUGCCUUGAGGAUAGAGGAGGAUUUUGAAGGAUAAGGAAAGUGGUUCAGGUUAUGACAAGCCAUCAUCAUCAUUUAAGUAAAGGUAAACCAGACAGGUCAGUCUUGUUCCAGCAAAACGGUUACAUAGAGAAAAAGCAGAUUGGAUCUUUGAAUGCUUGACUACGGAGCUUGGACUCAAUCUCACGGUUAAUGGGCAGGAAUUGGUUCAAUAGCCGCUAGUUCUUAGCGGGAAGGAAGAGUGUGCUAUUUGGAUUCUAUAGAACCAAUUUCACUCUCCAUUUGUAUUUGCAGAUUCAGCUUCAAGACCAUUUUCUCAUGUUCUAAAAGUUCAAAAGCAAGCACUCAGGAGAGAGUUGGCUAUGCGUUCCUGCCUUGGGUUUUCUAAGACUAACCACCUGGUGAAUUCCGCAAUCCUGUUAAAUGAUGCUCCUGACCGAGGAGGACACAGGCAAGCCAAAGGCAGAAUGACUGUCUCCAUGAGUGAUGAGAGAGCUGCAGACCUGAUAGGGAGAUAGAGCGUUAUUAAUAGACCAGGGCUUGGUGCUGGCUGUCACCUGAGCUGCCCAGGCUCUUCUUGUGUGGCAUAAGGGACUUUCUGCCAUCAUUUGGAUUUGCAACGGUGGACGAACAUCUCCAGUAACACUGUCCAGACAAUAUAUAAAGUUGAAAAUUUACCAAAUACAGCAUAUUUAAAGGAACUUUAUCUUUCAAAACAAUAUGCAUACAUUUUAAAGGCAAAUAAAUGAAUAUAAUACCAG